rnacentral:rRNA from 1 species
UACGUAGGGGUCCGAGCGUUUGUCCGGAAUUACUGGGCGUAAAGAGCUCGUAGGUGGUUUGUCGCGUUGUUCGUGAAAAACUCACAGCUCAACUGUGGGCGUGCGGGCGAUACGGGCAGACUUGAGUACUGCAGGGGAGACUGGAAUUCCUGGUGUAGCGGUGGAAUGCGCAGAUAUCAGGAGGAACACCGGUGGCGAAGGCGGGUCUCUGGGGCAGGUAACUGACGCUGAGGAGCGAAAGCGUGGGGAGCGAACGG